CAGGGCCAUGAGCUCCUGGGCAGUUUCUCGGUUCCGUCGAAGUGACCGUCUGGGCUGCUUCUGAGAGGUCAACUUGACUGGCAUCAAGGUCAGCCCUGCCCGAGCCGUUCGAUUCGACUGGAGACGAGAUGGGGGUCAACCAGUCCGUGGGCUUUCCGCCUGUCACAGGACCCCACCUGGUGGGCUGCGGGGAUGUGAUGGAGGGCCAGGGUCCCCAGGGGAGCUUCUUCCGACUCUUCUACCCCUGCCAGGAGUCAGAGGAGACCAUGGAGCAGCCCCUGUGGAUUCCCCGCUACGAGUACUGCGCUGGCCUGGCCGAUUACCUGCAGUUUAAUAAGCGCUGGGGGGGUUUGCUCUUCAACAUGGCUGUGGGAUCUUGUCGCCUGCCUGUUAGCUGGAAUGGCCCCUUUAAGACAAAGGACUCUGGAUACCCUUUGAUCAUCUUCUCCCAUGGCCUGGGAGCCUUCAGGACACUAUAUUCAGCCUUCUGCAUGGAGCUGGCCUCCCACGGCUUUGUGGUGGCUGUGCCAGAGCACAGGGAUGGGUCAGCUGCCACCACCUGUAUCUGCAAGCAGGUCCCAGAAGAGAAGCAGCCCUCGAAUGAGUUUCUGGAGGAGGAAUGGAUUCCCUACCGUCCAAUUAAGGAAGGGGAGAAGGAAUUUUGUGUUCGGAAUUGCCAGGUGUAUCAGCGGGUAGAUGAGUGUACUCGAGUGUUGAAGAUCCUGCAAAAGGUCACUGCUGGGCAGACUGUCCUCAACAUCUUGCCUGGUGGGUUGGAUCUGAUGACCCUGAAGGGCAGCAUCGACAUGAGCUGUGUGGCUGUGAUGGGACACUCAUUUGGAGGGGCCACAGCUAUUCUGGCUUUGGCCAAGGAGACCCAAUUUCGGUGUGCUGUGGCGCUGGAUGCUUGGAUGUUCCCUCUGGAACGUGACUUCUACCCGAAGGCCCGAGGCCCUGUAUUCUUCAUCAAUGCUGAGAAGUUCCAGACAGUGGAGAGUGUCAACCUGAUGAAGAAGAUGUGUGCCCAGCAUGAGCAGUCCAGGAUCAUCACUGUCCUUGGUUCUGUUCAUCGGAGUCAAACUGACUUUGCUUUUGUGUCUGGGAACUGGAUUGGUAAAUUCUUCUCCAGUCAAAACCGUGGGACCUUGGACCCCUAUGAAGGUCAAGAGAUUGUGGUGCGGGCCAUGUUGGCCUUUCUGCAGAAGCACCUUGGCCUGAAAGAGAACUAUGACCAAUGGAACAACCUCAUUGAAGGCAUUGGACCAUCGCUCACCCCCGGGGCCCCGCACCAUCUGUCUAGCCUCUAGACACAACUGGACUGAAUUCUCAUUUGGGGUCUGCCCAUAACCUCCUAUCAGGAAGUGGCCAACAGCCCUUCUUCACAGAUCCAAAGGAUGUAAUCACACUGCUGAUUGGAUGACGGGGUACUUUGAUCUUAGACUUGUUGAUCUUAAAUUCGUGGUGGGACUUGGAUCACUUACUGAUUGGCACACUGACUUUCUGGGGCCUGAGCCCUGAUGGCGUGGAGUUGGAGCAGUUGGGGUGGGGCUGGGGAGCACUCAGGCCCUAAGCUGAGCACUGUGAGCACUAUUAACCCAGCAAGCCUUCGCCCUCACCUUGGGCCAGGGUGGCUUCUGCAGUGAAAGAAAUGAAGCCAAAGGAUGGAGUGAAAAUUCCUACCUUCAGGACCUUUAGCCAACCUGGCCCUCUCUCUUCAUACCUCUCUCGGCCUUCUCCCUCUCCAGGGCCACUUGCCUAGUCCCUCCCGUGGACUCACCCCGGAAGUCAUUUUUACAGUCUCCUGGACUCUUCACUUCUCCUUUCCGCUGCAUUCUGCUGCCAGAUCUGCCUGAAACACCACUUUUAGAUCAAAAUACCAGCCUGGCAAGGUGGUCCAAUGGAGAGAAGACCAAACUGAUUGGAGCCCUGGGUUCUUGUCUCAACCCUCACAGUCUCUCGAUCUAUGGCCUUGUGCGUAUGCUUUUCCUCUCGUGACUUCAGCUUCCCAUAGGUAAACCUGGAUGUAGGGUGGUGGUGGUUGAACUGGCUGGUCCGUCAGGAGGGCUGGCAUUUCAUGUCGCUGUCACUGCGUUGUCUAGACUCUACUGGGCUCUCUUUUCCCUGUUCAGUUGCAUCUCACCCCCUCAUUCUGUCUGGUCUUGCCCCACUUCUGUCCUCUGCUUCCUCCCAGGCACUCUGCUUUUUCCGCAUUCCCCUUAACAUGCCCACCCCUUCCCCAAACUAACGUGCAUGCCCUCUCCCCUGGUCUUUUCUGGCUUGGAGGGGCCUUCCCAACUGCCUCACUGUAUAUCCAAAUAUGGCUGACCCUUGGGCCUCGUUCUAGCUCCACCUCUUCUGUGGAAGCCAUUUUUAUGAAUUUCAACUAACAUUUGCUCUCUUGGCCUCCUGUUGCCCAAGAGAAAUCUAUUCUGUGCCAUAUCUGGUAUUGUACUUUCUUACAUUAUUCCAGGAGCAGGCCUAUCUGCUGGACAGGGAAACGCAUCCUCCUGUUGACUGACAUGGGGAGCAGGGAUUGCUGUCCCCUCCCCCACACCAGCGGGUUCUUGUUCCCCAGCCAGACUUGGGAACAGCUGGUAUUUGCCCAGCCCUCUGAUGUCUCCAGCUGCCCCUGCUUUUUUUCUUUGGUUUUCUCAGAUCCCAGCUGUAGGGCCCAGGGCAGAGCCACCGGACGAUGCAGCCAAGGGCAGCUGGAGCAAAUAAGAUACAUGGACGUGUAGCAGUUGCGAGUUAGAAGGAAGGCAGAACUGAGCACAAAUCACACCAGUGUGGAAAGUGAGGGAAAGCAGUUUGCCAGCUUAUUUUUCCAUCUUGCUUUCAUCUAAAAAAAGAAGCUUCUCAGAAAGACAGUCCUCAUCAGCCUGCGAAGCCAGGUGGUCCCUAGAUUCCUGCCAAGUGUGCAUAUAUAAUUACUCAUCUUCAUGGAUUCACACCCAGGUCUGAAUCUAAACACUGGUACUUCUUUGCCAUUUGAUCUGGAACCAGUGAACCUUUCUUUUUCUAUGAAAUGGGGUCACUAAUGUCUGCCUUGCCCCCUCAGUGUUUGGGGAGAGUGGGGGGGUGCGUUCCAUGUAAAAUGUAAGAGCACUUUGUAAUUUAUAAAGCACUGGACCAAUCUA